CUCAAACCUCGCAGGGGGUUUCAUGGACAGAUCGGUUAAGCGUUUGCUGCUGGGUACGCUGACUUCUCGCAGUCUGUUCAUCACUUCUUUGUCCUUUUUUUGGGUGCUAUGGAAAUAUUUUGUGAUCUCUGAUGGGUUUUCACUGUACUGCCUCCUGGUGGGCCAGAGAGCUGUUAGUGGUGGUUGUUCCUUUCCUGGAGAAAUGGUGAGCCUGUCGACAGCCAGACUGCAAUAUUCAUGGGUGGAAGGGAAAUGGACAGUAAAUUGAUGAUGGGAGAGACCUUCCCUUUCUAUAGUCAUGUCUUGCUUAAGAGUUAUGAUUUGGUUAGCCUUAGGUAUUUAUUUAUCCAGUGGGAAGAAGCAGGCCUAAUGCGACCUUUACUCUGUAGAGCUUGUAUUUCAGAAGGGCCAUGCUGCAUGUUUUGGAGACAUCAUCUGAGUAAUGUUCCUUUUUCUUCCUCCCUCCCUAUAUCUUCCUCCCUCCCUUCUGCCGGCCACCUUCAGAAAACACCAUAUGGUAUUGUUGAAUCAAAUCCACGGAUAUUCCCAGGGGACAGAAUUUUAGAGACAGGAGAAAUUUUUCCACCCCUGAAAGAAGAUCCUGAGGAUCACCACUGAUGGUUAAAUGCUGAUUACCUUCUUCAACGAACAAGGCGAUAACUGCAGCUACUUUAUCUGUUCUAUAAAUGACUCUUUAUUCUGCAUCGCUUCA